GUCGGAGGAUGCAAGUGUUAUUCGGAAUCACUGGGCGUAAAGCGUCUGUAGGUGGUUCGAAAAGUCCACUGUUAAAAAUUGAGGCUUAACUUCAAAGAUGCCGUGGAAACUUUCAAACUAGAGUAUGGUAGGGAUAGAGGGAAUUUCCAGUGGAGCGGUGAAAUGCGUAGAUAUUGGAAAGAACACCGAUGGCGAAGGCACUCUACUGGGCCAUUACUGACACUGAGAGACGAAAGCUAGGGGAGCAAAUGGG
rnacentral:rRNA from 1 species